UUGUGGCCUACCAGGGCACUGGACACGCUUCACUAGUCUUUCAACCACCUGUGAACUUUUGAUAGAUCUGUGAAGUCGUCUUUCAAGUCGUCAGACUUGGUGUGGCGGGAAUUAAAACGCCCCGGGGGGACACCCCAGCCUAUUUACUUAACACCCCCCAAAUGUAUGUCUAAAAAUGUCUUUUAGUGGCCCGUGCGCUUAUAAACCAUAAUACAAUUUUCAACAACGGAUCUCUUGUCUCUCGCAUCGAAGAAAAACGCAGCAAAGUGCGAUAAGUAAUGAGAAUUGCAAAAUUCAGUGAAUCAUCAAAUCUUUGAACGCACCGUGCGCCCCGUGAUAUUCCGAGGGGCGUGUGUGUUUGAGUGUCAUUAUACUCUCAAACUCACUGUGGUCUUUCCCCAAUUGUGAGAUUUUGAUUAGUGGGGGCUGUGCUGGUUUGACAUCGCCUCUCCUCAUAUGUGCAUUAACAACACCUCACAGCGUCUCUGCGCGUGAUGAGAUAAUUAUCACUCAUCUAUAGCACGCAUGAAUAGAGUCCAGCUCUC
rnacentral:rRNA from 1 species